rnacentral:rRNA from 1 species
GCAGCCGCGGUAAUACGUAGGGGGCAAGCGUUAUCCGGAUUUACUGGGUGUAAAGGGAGCGUAGACGGUCUUGCAAGUCUGAAGUGAAAGCCCGGGGCUCAACCCCGGGACUGCUUUGGAAACUGUAUGACUAGAGUGUCGGAGAGGCAAGUGGAAUUCCUAGUGUAGCGGUGAAAUGCGUAGAUAUUAGGAGGAACACCAGUGGCGAAGGCGGCUUGCUGGACGAUGACUGACGUUGAGGCUCGAAAGCGUGGGGAGCAAACAGGAUUAGAUACCCC